UAAACAUUCAUGAAAAGUUUGUGAAUGGGCAACACCAAUUUUGAUAGUGAACAACUAAAUAUGUUACACACUGGACCUUUAAUAGUAGGUGCAGAAAAAAGCUGUCCA